rnacentral:rRNA from 1 species
GAUGAACGCUGGCGGCGUGCCUAAUACAUGCAAGUCGAACGCUGGAGAUCUAGCUUGCUUGAUCGAAGGAGUGGCGAACGGGUGAGUAAUACAUAAGCAACCUACCCACGAAGACUGGGAUAAUCUCUGGAAACGGGGACUAAUACCGGAUAGGUAAUCGGAAGGCAUCUUCUGGUUAUUAAAGGUUAAAAACACUGGUGGAUGGGCUUAUGGCGCAUUAGUUAGUGGGUGAGGUAACGGCCCACCAAGACGAUGAUGCGUAGCCGGCCUGAGAGGGUGAACGGCCACAUUGGGACUGAGACACGGCCCAGACUCCUACGGGAGGGAGCAGUAUGGAAGUUUAGGCAAGGGAGGCAAACCUGACCGAGCAACGCCGGGUGAGAGAAGACGGCCUUCGGGUUGUAAAGCUCUGUUGGAAGGGAAGAACGGUAGAUAGAGAAUAUCUAAGUGACGGUACCUGACCAGAAAGCCACGGCUAACUACGUG